AAAACAAAUAAAAUAUAUUAGUAUUACACUAGCUUUAACAAUGUGAAUAUAAAUAAUAGUCACCUUGAGCUUUAACGUUGCUGUUUAGUCAAAUUUAAUUUUAAGAGUAAGCCAUGUUGUUUUCAGAUGCCAAAGAAUUUAUACUUAUACCUCCAGAAAUUUUAGUCAAAAUAUUUUGUAAUUUACAAUUUAUUGAUCUCUUGGCUUGCACUGAAACCUGUAAAAAAUGGAAUGAUCUCAUAAAAUCCAGAAUUUUCCCGAAAAGAUCUAUUCAUUUGACUGCUUACUCAAACGAUCAAUUUACGACAUUACAAAAAAUACUGGACUCGACUUAUCGUACCUUUCAUGGCGGGAUAACUCUAAAAAAUCUCGAAAAAAUCCCCAGUUUAAAUUUUUAUGAAGGAUAUUAUAAAUAUCUUAAUUCAUCAACCAAAAUUAGAAACUCUUAUUCUCCAAGGCAUGGCUCAAAUAAAUAAUGAAGUAAUUCGAAUCAUUAUAUCUUCAUUGAAAUAUUUAAAGUACAUUGAUUUAUCAGAUUGGACAAAUAUUGGUGGAGAUUGUUUAAAUUAUAUUUUAAAAGGAAAUUGCAAGAGAUUGAGAGUUUUAAACGGAAUAAAAUCGUUGAAAAAUAUGUUGUUACAAGAAAAAAAUGACGAAACUCAUAAGUUCAUUUUUUUAUAAAUGAUAAAAACUAUAUUAUAUCAUAUGUUUAUUAUUAAAUGUUUGGUUGAAGAAUCACCUUAACAAGAGAUUUGUGAAAUAAAAUUAUAUAAACUUUAAAUGAAAAUAAUAAUUUUAGGUAGUAUUCAUUAGUUAUGUUUCUUUUUCAAAUAGAAUGGAAAUAUUACAGGAAGUAAAAAACGAAUCUGGAAUAGAAUAUCGUGAACGAAUGCUCUCAAGAAUGUCUACCAUUCCAUUGUUCCAAAAAUGUCCAUAUUUAGAUGAUCAAAAUGAACAUAAGAAGGAACGACUCAUUAUUUCUAUCCGUGGCAAUGCAAGGAUUUUACUUCUUCGGCGAAUAAUAAUAGACUUAUCUCCCAAAAAUGAAGAUAAUUUUGAAAUAUUGGUUAUGAUUAAUUCUAAAAUAUUAAAUCCUUUUCUGUUACCCUCUUCAAAAGGUACUAUUUUAAUUAUUCCAAUUGAUGACAAAGAUCGUUACUAUCGUAUAAGUGGUUUAAAGGAUCUUUUGGUAUCUCAUUGUAGAAUAAAAUGCAUAAUUAUCGAGGGACUCGGGAGAAAUAAAUUACGAAAUAAGGAUAUUUACGCAGUGACAAUUAAUUCCAUAAUAUCUAAUUCCGAAUUCACAUCCAUUCCAAUUAUCUAUACCACUGAAGAAUCUGAUCUUGAUAACGACAAUCCUCGUAACACAAUUCGUAUCAAUACUUCUUUCUCUGACCAAGAUAAUUUAAUUUAUUUGAAUCAUCAUGAUACAACAAAAAACUGUGGUUUUAAGGAGAAGAUUUCAUUGAAAUUAUAGAACUAUUGAUGAUAUACUGCUUGAAUUGAUUAAUAAUAUUUUUUAAAGAUCUUCUAUAACUUCGCUUCGUUUCUCAUCAAAACUUUUUUCUCAAAAUUGUUAUAGAGGUUAUAUUGUUAACAAUAUUCAUUGAAAGAACACUUUUUAUCCACCUUUAUAGCAAAUAUACAACAUAUAUAUUCA
rnacentral:sRNA from 1 species